AGCGAACGCUGGCGGCAGGCUUAACACAUGCAAGUCGAGCGGGCGUAGCAAUACGUCAGCGGCAGACGGGUGAGUAACGCGUGGGAACGUACCUUUUGGUUCGGAACAACACAGGGAAACUUGUGCUAAUACCGGAUAAGCCCUUACGGGGAAAGAUUUAUCGCCGAAAGAUCGGCCCGCGUCUGAUUAGCUAGUUGGUGAGGUAACGGCUCACCAAGGCGACGAUCAGUAGCNGGUCUGAGAGGAUGAUCAGCCACAUUGGGACUGAGACACGGCCCAAACUCCUACGGGAGGCAGCAGUGGGGAAUAUUGGACAAUGGGCGCAAGCCUGAUCCAGCCAUGCCGCGUGAGUGAUGAAGGCCCUAGGGUUGUAAAGCUCUUUUGU
rnacentral:rRNA from 1 species